rnacentral:rRNA from 1 species
UGGGGAAUAUUGCACAAUGGGCGCAAGCCUGAUGCAGCCAUGCCGCGUGUGUGAAGAAGGCCUUCGGGUUGUAAAGCACUUUCAGCGAGGAGGAAGGUGGUGAACUUAAUACGUUCAUCAAUUGACGUUACUCGCAGAAGAAGCACCGGCUAACUCCGUGCCAGCAGCCGCGGUAAUACGGAGGGUGCAAGCGUUAAUCGGAAUUACUGGGCGUAAAGCGCACGCAGGCGGUUUGUUAAGUCAGAUGUGAAAUCCCCGGGCUCAACCUGGGAACUGCAUUUGAAACUGGCAAGCUAGAGUCUCGUAGAGGGGGGUAGAAUUCCAGGUGUAGCGGUGAAAUGCGUAGAGAUCUGGAGGAAUACCGGUGGCGAAGGCGGCCCCCUGGACGAAGACUGACGCUCAGGUGCGAAAGCGUGGGGAGC